rnacentral:rRNA from 1 species
GACGUCAAAUCAUCAUGCCCCUUAUGACCUGGGCUACACACGUGCUACAAUGGGAAGUACAACGAGUUGCGAAGUCGCGAGGCUAAGCUAAUCUCUUAAAGCUUCUCUCAGUUCGGAUUGCAGGCUGCAACUCGCCUGCAUGAAGCCGGAAUCGCUAGUAAUCGCGGAUCAGCACGCCGCGGUGAAUACGUUCCCGGGCCUUGUACACACCGCCCGUCACACCACGAGAGUUUGUAACACCCGAAGUCGGUGAGGUAACCUUUUGGAGCCAGCCGCCUAAGGUGGGAUAGAUGAUUGGGGUGAAGUCGUAACAAGGUAGCCGUAGGAGAGUU